rnacentral:rRNA from 1 species
UACGUAGGGGGCAAGCGUUGUCCGGAUUUACUGGGCGUAAAGAGCGUGUAGGCGGCCAAACAGGUCCGUUGUGAAAACUGGAGGCUCAACCUCCAGACGUCGACGGAAACCGUGUGGCUAGAGUCCGGAAGAGGAGAGUGGAAUUCCUGGUGUAGCGGUGAAAUGCGCAGAUAUCGAGAGGAACACCUGCGGCGAAGGCGAGUCCCCUGGACAACACCUGACACUGAGGCACGAAAGCUAGGGGGAGCAAACAGG